GCCCCGGUGGCUCAUCGGUCAAAGCGCGCGCAUCAUAAAGGCUGUGUCCUUCCAAGGCAACCCGGGUUCGAUUCCGGCUCGGGUCA